AACGAACGCUGGCGGCGCGCCUAACACAUGCAAGUCGAACGAGAAUCCGGGGGCAACCCGGUAGUAAAGUGGCAAACGGGUGAGGAAUACAUGGGUAACCUGCCCUUGAGAAGGGAAUAACCCGCCGAAAGGUGAGCUAAUACCCUAUACGCUCUUUUUCUGCGGAAAGAGAAGGAAAGCUAAGUCGUGGAUUUGGCACUCAAGGAGGGGCUCAUGUCCUAUCAGCUUGUUGGUGGGGUAACGGCCUACCAAGGCUACGACGGGUAGCUGGUCUGAGAGGAUGAUCAGCCACACUGGCACUGAGAUACGGGCCAGACACCUACGGGUGGCUG
rnacentral:rRNA from 1 species